AUCUGGGCGGCGGAAUUCAGGAUGGCUGGCGUGCUCUCGCGCGUCGGUCGUUUGAUAUUUCCGUCGCCAACUAACCGCAGACGUCGCGACCUGUUCGCGGUCGGUCCCUGCUCGGAGGAGCCGCGUUCGAGCUCGUUGUGUGCGCGUUUCGGCGUGUCACACGGCGAAGGCGCGGAUCUCUGGCUGGCCGUCGGACAGUAUGCCUAACGGUGUCCGGUGUCGUCGUCUCGUACGCGCGGCAUCGGUACCGGUCAGCGACGAAUUCUUCGGGCCUCUUUCCGACCCGUCUUGAAACACGGACCAAGGAGUCUAACAUGCGCGCGAGUCGCGGGGUAUCGAGCGUACUUCGGUGCGUUCGUUAUGUUGCGAAACCCGUACAUGUUGAAGGCGUAAUGAAAGUGAAUGGGGAAGAUGGUGUUCCGAGUACACGUUCCGCGAUCGUCGGUAUCGCGGCCGGGCACCCGCAUUCCCAGGGCGUCUCAACGGCCCGUCGUUGAUGCGGACAGUCGUCUCUCGGGGCGGCUGUCGGUCGGCGACGAACCGA
rnacentral:rRNA from 1 species